AGAUUAUUUUUGAUUGAUGUUCUUUGCCUUGCUAUAAAUAAUAGGUCGGAACGGAUUUACUCAAUUCACAAGUUUCAAGUGAGUAAUAAUGGCUCGGUUUACAGUUUUUGUGCUUUUUCUGACCGCUUUAGUGGCAACAAUUGCAGCUGAUUGUACAGGAGCUACAAAGGAUAUAAAGCCAUAUAAAACCGAAGAUAUAAGGUAUUCGCUUGAAGUCUACUACCAGCUGUUGUUGUACAUCAAGGAAAAUAAUUUGUUGCAAGUUCGUGACUGUCCAAUGUGUAAAUGCUUCAAUGAUGGCACGUGUGUGGACUUGUGCGAUGGCGGAAUAUGGCCUUAAUUGUACUAUUUAAUGUUAUUGUUAAACCAAAAAAAUUAAAUAAACUUUCGCAAACCUAAGUUUAAAAGAGUCCAAAUCCUGGAAUUUAAUACUUGGGGAUUAGUUUUAUCUAUGAACUGAUUAGGGGAUUAAGAUUUUUCGAUGUGUGUCAAUAACUUACGAAAAUAGAACGCAAUCUCUGGAACUGGAUCAAAAUUUGGUACUGAUUUUGCCAAUUAAAAUCUGGGGCAGAAAGUUUGUAAAAUUCCAAAAAUGGAUUAUCCGUGAUGAUAUAUAAAAGUAUCUUUGACAAUUUUAUUGCCAGUGUGUUCUAAAAUCUUGAAGCAAAAAUGAGAAAAAGUUUAAUUCUAGUUGCUUUAUUUCUAUUUGUUUUGGCAAAUAAUUUGCACGGAACAAACUCCAAGAAUGUGGAUAUUUCAACAUUUCGUUACACGAAGGAAAAGUAUUAUGAGCUGCUCCGUUACAUCAAAGAAAAUAAAUUAAUUGACUUGGACACCUGUCCACAAAAAUUAAACUUUCACCACUUUUCUAUCGAUUUGUGCAACGAAAACGAAUGGCCGUGAUUUCGCAAUAAAUUUUUAAUGAAA